AACGAACGCUGGCGGCAUGCCUAACACAUGCAAGUCGAACGAGACCUUCGGGUCUAGUGGCGCACGGGUGCGUAACGCGUGGGAACCUGCCCUUAGGUUCGGCAUAACUCCCCGAAUGGGGUGCUAAUACCGGAUAAUGUCUUCGGACCAAAGAGUUAUCGCCUUUGGAUGGGCCCGCGUUGGAUUAGCUAGUUGGUAGGGUAAAAGCCUACCAAGGCGACGAUCGAUAGCUGGUUUGUGAGGAUGAUCCGCCACACUGGGACUAAGACACGGCCCAGACUCCUACGGGAGGCAGCAGUGGGGAAUAUUGGAAAAUGGGCGAAGGCCUGAACCAGCACUGCCGCGUGAGUGAUGAAGGUCUUAGGGUUGUAAAGCUCUUUUACCCGGGAUGAUAAUGACAGUACCGGGAGAAUAAGCUCCGGCUAACUCCGUG
rnacentral:rRNA from 1 species